ACAAGCGGUGGUAUAUAUCUACGCAAGUGAUGAUCUGUUCUGUGUGUUUUCUGCAGGGUUCCAACUGAUGUAUGCUUCGGAUCUGGUGCAUAUAUGCCUCGGAUCCUACAUGCAGCAGGUCUUUGAAUAUGUAUAUAUGUGUAUGUAUGUAUAUCUGGUGAUGUGUUCCUUGCCGUGAUCUUUGUCAGGUGAGCAGUCCUUCGCUGUUCCGGCCUCUGCUUCGUUGUCUGUUCGACCUCGAUCGAUCUGCACAACUUUUUGUCCAUGAAUUUUUGUGAGCCAAGAUGAACAUGUGUGAAGCAUUUAGAUGCAUGACAACUGCACAAACUGAAUAAUUUAAAAUUUAACCGAUAUAUAUUGCUGACAAUGAGGUGGGUUGACAAAAAACAAAAAGUUCAAAAUCGUCUACUCCUUAGCUCAAAAUUCUCUGGAAGAUAUUUAGAAAGCACAAACACGUUAUUAUGAUGCUUUGCAAAUAUCUUGCUAGAGAAUUUUCAGCUAAGAAAUACUCCCUCUGUAAACUAAUAUACGAUGCCUUAGAUCACUAAACUUUAGUGUUCCAAAACGUCUUAUAUUAGUUUACAGAGGGAGUAGAGUUUUUAGUGAUGUAAAACGUCCUAUACUAGUUUACAGAGGGAGUAAAAGAUUUGAAUCUUGUGUCUAACUACAUAUCAAUCGACAGUGGAUCAUAAAUGCAUAGUCUGAGAACAAUAUGUGCACUCAAUUUUUUUUCUCACAUUAGCAAUUACUACACAGCAAAAAAGCAAUUGUCGUCAAAAGAAUUAUUUCAAUUUGUCAAGUAAAAAUGUACAUACAUAUAAUAAAAUCUAGCCGCACAAAUGAAAAGGUCACCUAGCUAGUUAAGUAUGAAUAGAAGUGAGAACUGGGCUGUUUCUUCCUUUUGUUUUCUUGGAUUGGAUCUAGAAUUGAAAGUUUUUUCUUCAAAAUAAUAAUAAUAAUAAUAAUAAUAAUAAUAAUAAUAAUAAUAAUAAUAAUGUUUUACCUACGCGAAGGCUAUAAACAUUCAUCUUUCAGCACACCACAACAUCGAUUAGAUGGCACUUUACCUAUCGGGAAAAAUAGCCUAUAUUGGUAAUGCCGUGUCCAAACUGGUUAUCAAGUGUGUGGACAUUUUGAGCUCUUUUUAGACACACCAUGUUCGUAGGUAUAAUAUGUUGAGUAAGGGUAGUUGAGAAAUCCUAGGCGUUGGCUGUCAAGGAUAGUAAAAAUGAUAUUAACUCUCCAUAAUCUUGCUCAAGAAUCUAAUUGCCUUGACAUACAUGCAUACAUAUAUCUGCACAUUUUUCUUAAGGAAAUAUAUGUGCACAUUACCUAUAUACAUUAAUUACAUAGAAACCCAAAUAGCUCCCUAGGUUCACCGAGUCUGCAUUUCCAACAUAUAAAAAACCACAUUUAAAAGUCCAAUUUUCCAGCAAACUUGACACACGUACAUAUAAAUGUGCACCAUUUGUGAUACAGAUCCACACGUUCAUCUCUUUUUUUAGUAGUACACAUGCAGAUAUUCCUACAUGCAAAUUUGCAGAUAUGUAUUGCAUGUUAUUAACAUGUUUACAUAUGUGUUGACAAAAUUUCAGAACUUUCUGAAACUUCAAGUUGCAGUUUUCAAAUUUAUUAAAAUCUCAAGCCCGAAAGCCAAGAUCUGCACUUAGACGACUAAUUAAUAUAAAGAAAACAUUUUUGUCAAUUAUGCAUAAAUGGCAGCACAUGAAAAAUGUUUUACGAUGUAAAGUUUUUUGUAAUCUUUCACACUCACAUAGUCAUACUUGUUUAAUGGUCAAACAUUCAUACUAUGGAUACCAAAAAAAGUUAGAACACAUAAAUUUUGGAAGGCCUGGACUAUUACUUAGAUACAUAUAGUUCUACUACUCCAAACAUUUACCACACCCUCCCUACAUAUACACCUUCCUGAACACAUAAAAUCACGCUUAUGUAUAUUUGUCUUAGAUCCUUAACCAUGCAUGCACCUAGUUAAAGUCAAAACAAUCUAGUUGUAAUUUGCAAUUAAAUUAAUAUCCAGCAACGGUUCUAAUUUUUUUUGACAAAGUAUGGUGCAUAUCGAAGAGAGGUCGAAUGGGCUGCGAAGUUGAGGUUGACGCUGAAGGACUGUCUAUUUGACAAGGCCAGGUAUGGAACAAAACGUCACCAUGGGUGUGUGCGAGGAUCUCCAUGGAUACUGAGAUUCCUCGAGAUCAAAGUUGGAGUUUGAGAUACUUCGGAACUAAAACGAUGAGGUUCAGUAAAUUGCAAUUCUGUUAUGGCUUGUCCUUUUUGCCAUAUGCCUGGUGGCCCAUGUUCUUCUGUUGAUUCUUCUAUAGAUGGGUUCAGUGUGGUCCUGGAUCGGCGUUGUUGGAGGCGUGUUUACGUUCCGUGCAGUGUUAGAGCUCAUCUUGCUUGUUACAUCGAGGAGUGUAGGGCUUUAGCCAUAAGGAGGGGUGACAAAUAUACUGAUGUUGCUCUUCAGUGCAAUGAGGGUUAUUUGUAUGGUGUUCUGUUUAGUCAUGGUCGGGUGAGGAGCAAAUUCCAUGGUCCUUCCUGGGAACGAUUGGUCAAGAUUAUGGUGUUCGUCCUCGUGAUAUAGUGACCAUUAGGCUUGAACAUUAUGGAACGUGGAUUGGUAUUGAUUUUUAUCGUGUUGGUCGUGGAGAUGCGUUGUCCCCUUUACUGUCUGUUGGUAAGGUAUAUUUUUAAGUAAGUUUUUAGCUUGUUUUAUUGUACAUGAUGAUUUUUCUGUUCCCUUGAACCUGUGUAAUUAUAUUUUGUAGCUAUUGAUGGUUUGAGCGACUCCGAGAUGGAACUUGUUGGGAGUUGUUAUUAAACCCGUGGUGUUUUGCUUAAUUAUCAGCAGAUGUAUUUCAUGAGGUGUCAACUCUUUGAUGAUGACUACAUACCCUGUUGUCCUUUUGUUCACAGGAUUGAUUCCAUGAAUGUUAAUGGUCAUCAUAUGGUUAUUCCUGGUAUUGUUGUGAGGAGUUUGAAGGAGUUUGUGACUUUUCCUAGGACUGGCGUUUUAACUCUUGAAGUUACUUUGGAAUCUGGUGAUGAUGAUAUAUAUGUGAGCACUCCUUGCUCCUACUUCAUUGGCUUGGGUAAUAUAAUGGAGUUCAAACAGGAAGGUUUCAGUGAUUUUCUCCAGGCAUCGUCUAUUGAAGUAAACAGCUUGGUGCUGAUAACUUUCAAAGAGCAUGAUGGGAGGCUUGUUGUUAUCUUCAAUCUUCUACCGCAGUGAUGUUAGUUAUAGCCUUUGAACAUAAUGGAUUUUGUUUAAAAAUUUAUGCUAUGGUUUAGUGUUAUUUAGAUAUAUGAAACGAUAUGAACCUAACUGUUCAUUUUUUUGCUGUUGUUCGUUUAUAGAAGAGGAAUGGCUGUGCAUCUCUUUUAACGAUGUUUUUUUGGACGAAUGUUAUUUAAUUGGGGUCAUAGUUAUAAAUACAGUAGAGGCACGUGUGUUGUUUACUCUGAGGCACGACUGUGCAUCUCUUUUAUGUGAGGCACGUGGAUUGUAGUCAGUACAGGCACAGUUGUGUGUGGAGGCACGUGUAUACUGAGAGGAACGUGUGUGCAGCACCAAAGUUGCACGGGCGAUGAUGUGUGCGGAGCACGUAGAGUUACUGUGGUUUUAUGUGAGGCACGUGGAUUCAGCAAACGGACGCACGGAAUUGCAGUCAGUACAUGCACGGUUGUGUGGAGGCACGGGUAUACUAAGAGGAACGUG